AACGUUGUUCUUCUCUUGAAAUAUUAUGUUGGCUGUUAUAGAUCUUUUGCUCCUUUGUGUAAAAUCAGAGGAUUUAGUUUGUCAAUAUCUAAAAGGUAACUUGUUGGGAUUUUGAUUGAAAUUUUAUUGAAUCUAUACAUCACAUUGGGAAGAACUGACACCUCGACAAUAUUGAGUCUUCCUACUCAGGAACAUAGAACAUCCUUUCAUUUAUUUAGUUAAUCUUUGAUUUUUUUAAAAUCAGAGUUUCGUAAUUUUAUUCACAUAGAUCUUGUACUUUGUCAGAUUUAUACUUAAGAAUUUCAUAUUGGGGAGGUUGCUAAUGUAACUAGUAUUGCAUUUUUAAUUUCAAAUUCCACUUGGUGCUCCUCUACUUACAAUGGGGUUACAUCCCAAUAAACCUAAGUUGAAAAUAUCAUAAGUAAAAAAUGUAGCCCUGAGAGCCAUUGGCCAAAUAAUCACCAGUGCUUGAAGUCUAAGUUGCCUAUCCCUUUUACAACAUCAUAAAAUCAAAGAAUUGUAAUCUGAAUCAUCAUAAAUUGGGGGACUGUAUAGGAAAGCAAUUGACAUUUACAGGUUAACAUUUUAUCUUGCAACUUUGCUAUAGUCACUUACUAGUUCCAGGCGGUUUUGAUUUUUUUUUUUUUUUUUUUUUUUUUUUGGUGUGUAUCAAUUCUUCUGGAUUUUCUACAUAGAUGAUCAUUUCAUCUGUGGACAAAGAGUUUUAUUUCUUCCUUUCUAAUCAGUAUACCUUUUAUUUUCUUUUCCUGUCUUAUUGCAAUAGGUAGGAAUUUCAGUAUGAUGUAAAAAGGGGUGGUGAGAAGGGACAGCUUUGCUUUGUUUUUGGUCAGUAUAUUUUAGCAAUUCAGCUGAACAAAUACCCAAUUGUCAACUAUAUUUUUCAGCCCCCAUUAUAGCUAGGUAUGGGCCAACAUAACUAAUUCUUACCAAUGGAAUGUAAGCAAAAGUGAUGCAUGCCACUUUCAGGUCUUGACUGAAGGCACUGAACAUGUGUAUUAUCACUCUUUCUUCUCUACUUCCAACUUGCAAGAUAUGGUAAUAACUUAUGCAACCUUGAAAGAUAGUGUGAUUGGUGGACAGAAUUGCCUCCCCAGCCUGAGUUCCUGCAUGACCUUAUAGAGUAGAGCUACCCUACAGGGGUAAAUUACAGGGCUGUUCAUAAAACAGAGGGAUAUUCAUGAAACAUAAAUAAAAUUCUAUUUUAUUUACAUCAUUACAUUUUGGAGUCUCUGUUAUAAAGUCACUUAGUCUUUACCUAUUACAGCAUCUUAACCAUACCACAUUUAAAAUUUGCUAGCCAUCAUUCCACCUAAAUACCUUGCGCUAUAGUUAUAGUCUCAGUCUGAGUAAAAGCUCCUACAGUCAUAUAGUCAUCUUUCCUCUCUCCAUGCCAACAUAUAGUUUUCCUAAGUGCAGUUCUUACCUCUCAAGAAUGACUCAGGGUUUCUACUUCUGGCCAUGAUAGAGUAACUACUACCGGACUAGUCCUCUUUCCAUAAAUAACUAUGUAGUCAGACAAACAUUUAUCAGGCAGUUGUUUUCAGACAAUGGAUAAUAGGCAAAACAAGACUGAGAUAAUGAGAUCCCUGAGAGAAGGGAAACUAACAAGGUGUGUGUCUUAUAUAAACAGCUUAAAACUUGAUGUAAAGAAAUCCAGUCUGAAAAUCUCUUUUUACUGCUUCCUGUGUUGCUACUGAGAAGGAUUGGAGUGAUGCAGCUACAAGUCAAGGAAUGCCAAUGAUUGGCAGCUAUCACCAGAAGCUAGGAAGAGGCAAGAAAAGAUUCUCCCCAGAGUCUCAGAGGGAGUAUGGCCCUGCUGACACCUUGAUUUUGGACUUCCAGCCUGAAGAACUUUGAAAUAAUAAAUUUCUGUU